GGGGGCCCGCACAAGCGGUGGAGCAUGUGGUUUAAUUCGAAGCAACGCGAAGAACCUUACCAGGCCUUGACAUCCAAUGAACUUUCCAGAGAUGGAUUGGUGCCUUCGGGAACAUUGAGACAGGUGCUGCAUGGCUGUCGCCAGCUCGUGUCGUGAGAUGUUGGGUUAAGUCCCGUAACGAGCGCAACCCUUGUCCUUAGUUACCAGCACGUCAUGGUGGGCACUCUAAGGAGACUGCCGGUGACAAACCGGAGGAAGGUGGGGAUGACGUCAAGUCCUCAUGGCCCUUAUAGGUAGGGCUACACACGUCAUACAAUGGCUGGUACAAAGGGUUGCCAACCCGCGAGGGGGAGCUAAUCCCAUAAAGCCAGUCGUAGUCCGGAUCGCAGUCUGCAACUCGACUGCGUGAAGUCGGAAUCGCUAGUAAUCGNGGAUCAGAAUGUCNCGGUGAAUACGUUCCCGGGUCUUGUACACACCGCCCGUCACACCAUGGGAGUGGGUUCUNCCAGAAGUAGUUAGCCUAACCGCAAGGAGGGCGAUUACCACGGUAGGGUUCAUGACUGGGGUGAAGUCGUAACAAGGUAACCGUAAGGGC
rnacentral:rRNA from 1 species